UACGUAGGGGGCAAGCGUUGUCCGGAAUCAUUGGGCGUAAAGAGCGUGUAGGCGGCCCGAUAAGUCCGCCGUGAAAGUCCAGGGCUCAACCCUGGAAUGCCGGUGGAAACUGUCGGGCUGGAGUCCGGAAGAGGCGAGUGGAAUUCCUGGUGUAGCGGUGAAAUGCGCAGAUAUCAGGAGGAACACCAAUGGCGAAGGCAGCUCGCUGGUCCGGUACUGACGCUGAGGUGCGAAAGCGUGGGGAGCAAACAGG
rnacentral:rRNA from 1 species